rnacentral:lncRNA from 1 species
CUUAAAGGCAGCACCCCUAGAAGAGACCAGCAGACCUUUUCAGCAAUGGCUACAGAGGUUCUCAACUUCGACACUGGGACACUGCAGGCUGGACAGUUCUUGCACAUGCAGAACUGCCCUGUGCAUCAGUUGAGCCACAUCCCUGGCCUCUGCAUGACUUGCCAGUGGCAGCCCACAAAAUUAUGUUAACUAAAAAUGUCUGCAGACAUUGCCAAAUGUCCCUUCAGGACAGAAUUGUCUCUACAUGGGACACGUUGAUCUACAGCCAGGCAGGGCUUUCGGAAGCUGUAAUCUCCCUUUGUUAUGACUCAGGGUUCUGCCUGGGGAACAGGUGACAGCAAGGAGAGUCAAUGUUGAGUAGCUUAGACAAGAAGGAAGGAGCUCUGUUUUUACACAACAGUCCACGCUCAGCCCACAGAGACAGGGGUACUCUGGCUGUGAAUCACCUGCACUGAGUCCACCAUUCAGCCUCAGGAUUCAUGGCAAAUUCCUUAUUAAAAUCAUCAUCAGGAGGCUGCUCACAUUGCUUCUGUUCCCACCCCCACAGCCCAAACUGUCACAUCGCCACACACAACUACAAGCCAAGCAGGAAAAUGCAGUCUGAGGCUGGGCACCCACACCCUGGUCCAUUUGUGGCAAUAGAUGGCUGAGUUGUUUUGAAUCACUGGGAAUGCUGGAUGCAAUGAGGAAACCUCACGUUUGGCAGCUGGCUGGACAGCAUGACAGAGUAAACAGAUGCACCUGGACUGAGGAG